rnacentral:rRNA from 1 species
UCGGCAAUGGGCGAAAGCCUGACCGAGCGACGCCGCGUGCGGGAUGAAGGCCCUCGGGUUGUAAACCGCUGUCGUUGGGGAGGAAAUGCAUGGGGGCUAUCCCUCAUGUUUGACCUAUCCAAGGAGGAAGUACGGGCUAAGUUCGUGCCAGCAGCCGCGGUAAGACGAACCGUACAAACGUUAUUCGGAAUUAUUGGGCUUAAAGGGUGCGUAGGCUGCGCGGAAAGUUGGGUGUGAAAGCCCUCGGCUCAACCGAGGAAUUGCGCCCAAAACUGCCGUGCUCGAGGGAGACAGAGGUGAGCGGAACUCAAGGUGGAGCGGUGAAAUGCGUUGAUAUCUUGAGGAACACCGGUGGCGAAAGCGGCUCACUGGGUCUCUUCUGACGCUGAGGCACGAAAGCCAAGGUAGCAAACGGGAUUAGAUACCCCGGUAGUCCACGCCGUAAACGAUGUCUACUAGCUGUAGGGGUACUUGAGACCUUUGUAGCGCAGCUAACGCAAUAAGUAGACCGCCUGGGGAGUACGGCCGCAAGGUUAAAACUCAAAUGA